AUUGAACGCUGGCGGCAGGCCUAACACAUGCAAGUCGAGCGGUAACACAGAGGGCUUGCUCUCGGGUGACGAGCGGCGGACGGGUGAGUAAUGUCUGGGAAACUGCCUGAUGGAGGGGGAUAACUACUGGAAACGGUAGCUAAUACCGCAUAACGUCUACGGACCAAAGUGGGGGACCUUCGGGCCUCACACCAUCGGAUGUGCCCAGAUGGGAUUAGCUGGUAGGUGGGGUAAUGGCUCACCUAGGCGACGAUCCCUAGCUGGUCUGAGAGGAUGACCAGCCACACUGGAACUGAGACACGGUCCAGACUCCUACGGGAGGCAGCAGUGGGGAAUAUUGCACAAUGGGCGCAAGCCUGAUGCAGCCAUGCCGCGUGUGUGAAGAAGGCCUUCGGGUUGUAAAGCACUUUCAGCGAGGAGGAAGGCGUUGUAGUUAAUAACUGCAGCGAUUGACGUUACUCGCAGAAGAAGCACCGGCUAACUCCGUGCCAGCCGCCGCCGUAACAC
rnacentral:rRNA from 1 species